rnacentral:rRNA from 1 species
GGAUUAGAUACCCUGGUAGUCCACGCCCUAAACGAUGUCUACUAGUUGUCGGGUUUUAAUUAACUUGGUAACGCAGCUAACGCGUGAAGUAGACCGCCUGGGGAGUACGGUCGCAAGAUUAAAACUCAAAGGAAUUGACGGGGACCCGCACAAGCGGUGGAUGAUGUGGAUUAAUUCGAUGCAACGCGAAAAACCUUACCUACCCUUGACAUGGCAGAAAUCCUCGAGAGAUUGAGGAGUGCUCGAAAGAGAAUCUGCACACAGGUGCUGCAUGGCUGUCGUCAGCUCGUGCUG